AGGGUGUAAACGCUGCGGGCUUGGUGUUGGGGGUCCUUUGAGGGCGCCCAGUGCCGGAGAGAAGUUGUUAAGCCUGCUGCUUGGGGAGUACGUCCGCAAGGAUGAAACUUAAAGGAAUUGGCGGGGGAGCACCACAACGGGUGGAGCCUGCGGUUUAAUUGGACUCAACGCCGGGAAGCUCACCGGAUAAGACAGCGGAAUGAUUGCCGGGCUGAAGACCCUGCAUGACCAGCUGAGAGGUGGUGCAUGGCGUAGUCGUGU
rnacentral:rRNA from 1 species